AGGCUGCAUGUGAUGAUAACAUAGUUCAACAGAUAAGCUGUGAUGAAUGCCCAAGUCUUUCGCUCCUAUCUGAUGCAGCCG